GGAAACCCAAGUCAACAAAUGGAGUGGUAUUUACUCUCAGCCUCACCCUCAGGCAACAAAAAGACUGAGAAAUGCUGAGACAAAUCACCUCUAAACCAUGUAAAUGGCAUCUUGGAUGCCUUCUUAUAACCUUGUGUUCUCUUCUUCUCGUCAAUCUUCACAAUUAUUUUCUUAAGUUCAGGUCUCUCUCAUCCUCAAUUCAUCUUCACCAUCAAGGCCAAGAACUCCUAUAGCUGCAUUAUUUUGCCUUACAUAGUCCAAACCCAAGUCUCCAAUCUGCAGGCACAAGUCGGACGACUGCUGAAGCAGCUGCACGAUGAACGAUCAGAACCAAAAGCAGUGGCUUAGUUCUCAGACCAAGUUCUUCGUAUAUUCUCAGACCAAAUUCUUCGUAUUGCUAUAUCAAGAAGCAUAUUUAGUUUAGGCAACAUGUAGUUUAGAAGCUCACCUGAAUUGAAGACCUUUCUAUUCAUCGUUCUUUCUUCUUUGAGAUCACUUUCCUCGGGUUCACUCAAACAUUGAGCCACCUUGCUGAUCUCAUUGCUACAAGGAGGAGGAUUACUUUGCUCCAGUCCUGAUAUGCUUGAUCAAAAUCGACUGCUAAUGUUCCAUACGAUGGUUCCAAAGCUAAUAGCCAGUGGCUGUGAUCCACUGCCAAGAAGGAGAUGCUUCUCAAACGACACCUGAAAAAAAUACAGUAAGCCUUUCCCAUUAACAUCUCUCUUUGGACUCAACCUAGUGAUAUUAACGUCCGAGGGAACCUUUACAAAUGUAAAGACCACUCCUGCCUUUUCAAAACAAACAAUGGACAGAAGAGGCUUCUUUAAAUGUGCAGACUGUUUCAAUCUUUCUCAAAGAAGAUGGGAUAUACCUACGAGUGAAUCCAUGUCUGCUGAAUUCACCAUUGAUGAAGUCUUAAGGUCAAAGCCUGGAGAAAUCCAAAUCGGCCUCGAUUUCAGUCCCACUACUGGCACAUUUGCGGCGAUGAUGAGGGAGAGGAAUGUAAC
rnacentral:lncRNA from 1 species